rnacentral:misc_RNA from 1 species
AAGAGGAUGAUGCCCCCAUCGUCGAGGACGCGAAGGACGACGAUGACGACGACGACGAUGGGGAGGACGAGGAUGAGGAUAUAGCUGAAGAUGGUGGCGGAAUGAUGUCCCUUCCAGAUACUGAUGUGGAAGAUCAUGAUGAUACUAGACUGGCAGAUGACUACAAUGAUGAGAUGGUAGAUGAAGAGGAUGAUGAUUUUCAUGAGAAUAGAGUCAUUGAGGUCAGGUGGAGAGAGG